GCCGUCGGGCACACAAUCCAUUGAUUCACACAUAAGGUUUGCCUUUUUUUUCUUCUCUUUGCAUUCUUUUCUAUUAAGUUUUUAGAUCUUUUGUGUUGGCCAACGAAAAAAAGAUUUAGCACCCUAGAUUUCUACUUUAUAUCAGUCUGGAAGCUCACCAGCCAAUCAAUCCACUUGGAUUUCAAAGAUAUAAUGGACUAUAUUCACUCACGUUGCCCACGCCCUGUUGUUUCAUAGAUAUAUCUAUGCAUAUUUUGGUAUUGCAUCGUUAAGCAGUUCCUGGGAAUUACGUGCAUCAGGCAUAAGUUUUAUUUCCUCUAUGCUUUAGUUGGAAAUGGCAACUUGAUUUAACUAGAUUGGUUGUAAGCUUCGCUAAAUUCCACAACAGUUAUAUUCGUGAUGGGAUCACACGAAUGCCCUGGUGCCCGGUGUUCAGUGUGUUGUUCGAUGAGCAGUUGGGUAUUCCCAGGCCCAUAUGAGCACUUGGGUGGCUGACUGGUUGUAUGUGGUACUUAAGUUACAUUUUUCUUCUAUAUACAGAAUAAAUUCUGCAAGGCCCGUGGCGACUGAAAAUUCUGCUUUAAGCAGUCCCUGGGAAUUACGUGCAGCAGGUGUAAGUCCUAUUUCCUCUAUGUUGGGAAUUACAUUUUUCUUCUAUAUACAGAAUAAAUUCUGCAAGGCCCGUGGCGACUGAAAAUUCUGCAAGGUUUUAUGUACAUGAAAAGGUAAAUUUCAUAUAGUUGCAAUUGCAACCAGAGAAUCCAUGGUUUGUUAGUUUGUUUCUCAUUAUAUGCAUGGUCUUUCCUUUGAAAUUCCAAUAUUUAUAUUGUAGAAUUGCCAGUUAUAGAACAUAUGACAAGGUAUUUUCAGUUGUGAUAUCAGAGUGUCCUUUUUGUAAUUUUCAUUUGUAGCACUGAGUUGUGCAGAUUUAUGAUGGUCAAAAUAAUGUUGGCUAAAUCUAUUAGUAGAGUUAUUUAUUCUGUUCUGCACACCUGAAUAUUCAGAGUUAUAUGCAUGCAACGACGUCUACAUGUACUCGGUCGAUGAUCACUACUCUGCAGUACAAAAUUUCUAUGAGCACACUUAAGCAGAGUUAUAUGCAGACAAUUAACAGUAAUAGCAAUUGUUGUUAUUUUCAGAGCAGUUUUAAUUUUAAAAAACAUGUACUUGAUUAAUCUUUUCUUUUCUUUCAUGCAACGAAUAGAGUAUACACAAUAUACUACAAUUUGGUGUAACCCACACAAGGAUUCAAGAAGCAGGGCCAAACAGGACUAAUGAAGACAUAGCACAGUACUGUUCUUCAGGAUAUGAUGUUUAUUUUUGCCAAAAUUAUUAAGAGAUGAAGUAGUUUAUUAGGUUUCCAUUCCUUAUAUUGUGCAUUUUUUAUGUGACUAUUCUCGGUACAUAUAUUCUUAAGAAAAACAAGAUAGUUGUUGAAUGCUCUCUGAAACAUAGCAUAGAUUUUUUGUCGAAAAUAAUACUCUAUUUACUUUGAAUGUGAGUUCUGUUUUGCUUUAAACAGCUGAGUGCAUUCUGAAAUAUUGUCUCAAAGAACAAGGUGCAUGUUGAGUAUUUCUCCUCCCUCCCUCAUCUGAGCGAAGAAGACAUGCUGGAGUUGGGCGACUUCCACACCUCCCUCAUCGACGGCGUCUACAAUAUACUUGGCAAAGUCGAGGACGUAUACAAGAUUCUCGGCAACGACAAUGGUGUCUCCUUCCACCUUUUCAACAAAACCACACUUGGCGCCAGUAAGCACUCCCUCGCCCACCUCUCUUCCUCAUGCCUCCAACGUGUUGUGCUUUCCGCGGCCGCUGAACGCACAACGCCGCUGUGUAACCACUUGCUCCAGUACAUGUGUGCAUUUCAGUUUUCUACUCGGCAUUCUCUCAACAAUCUCAAGUUAUUUGGUGAUUGGUUCUUUGACUUAUAGGCUAAAUCACAUGGUUGAACUCACGAUCUUCUAGAGCCAAUAUUUGUGGAGCCUACGGGGUUUUUUUUUUGAAAGGGAAAAUAAAAAUCACUAUGUGAGGGUUUGUUACAAAAAACAUAAUCUUAGAACUUUCAUAGUUUAGCAAGUAUCUGGUUCUGAACUUUCGAAGAGUGCUUAUAACAGUAAUUUCUUCAGUCUUUUGUAUCAUUUUCCAGGAAUUAUUGCAAAUACAAGUAUUACACCUCUAUAUAUUAUAUUAUUUGUAAUUCCGAUUUAACAACGAUUCUGUUGUAGUAGCAUCCUUGUAGUUCACCAUUGGGAUGUGCACAUUUAGUCUUUAUUAGUAAUACAGUUUCUUGAUUUUCCUUGUAGUUCACCAUUGGUAUGUGCACAUUUAGUCUUUAUUAGUAAUACAAUACUUGAUUCUUGAGUUCUGAACUGAUUCAUGACAGUAAUGGUACGAAGUGAAAAAGAAUUCUUGCUGUGAUAUGGAUCCCUGUUCUGAUUUUAGUGAUUGACGCCGCCGUCUUCCAACACAUGACGGCUGCAGCCCCAUCCACCAGGCCACCUACACAGUGUCGCACCUAUUAGCCAGCAAAUCGCAUGUGUUCAUGUGUGUUGUUCCACCGAGAUCAUCGAUCAAGUCAUAGCUAUCUAGCUUCCACGGAAGCAUCCACCUACCAGCUAGCUUGCUGCUUGUACGUGUGCAUCAUCUGGGACAGAUCCGCCGGCUAGCGCGGCUAGCGACCGCUGUGUACGUACGUGCUCUAGCGGUAAGUACGUAGCCAACACAGACCGCAGCCAUCUAUACCAGGGAUCCUCCGCCCUACCGAGUCUUGCAAGCGAUCAUUGUAACUUUGUAAGAAAUAUUUCUGUUUGAUACUGUCAUGCGUUGUUGUUGCACUGUCACAACCAUCCAUCUACACACCAAAUAUAUGUGAACAAGAUUCAUUGGGGUUCCUAUUAUGGCACUGAGUUGAAUCGACAAAGAAGCUUCCAUUCAGCAUGCUAUGUCAAUGGAAGAAUAUCUGAAGCAAACCUCUGCUACUUCUCUGUUCUCUUUCAUUUGUCGUGGGCAGCCAAAUUGGUUGAAAUAGUUAUGGCCAGGGAAUGUGGCAGCAGCCAAAAAGGGGUUUCUCUAUGCCACCCCUCUGUUCUCUUUCAUUUUCUAUGGGCAACCAUGUUGCAUCUUAUAGAUUAGUGAUCAAGAUGUAAAUAUAUCAUUUGUGUCUUUACGUUACUAAAACUUUGUUGAGAAUUGAUUAAUUUUAGAUUUGCUUCUAGAAAUAAAUUUACAUCUGAAGAAUUGGAGCAAUUAUGGCACUGAGUUGCUGAGAUAGUAGGUGUAGGACUUGGUGAUGUAAUAAUGAUCAAAAUUCAUACACACAAUAUUGGACAGGAUAACAGUAUACAUGCUUUCGUGAGAUGAUUGGUCUUAAGCAUAAAAAUGCUUCCAUGUGCCAAUGCACAAUAAAGAGUUCUAUGUUUUUGUACCACUUUAUUUUGUGCAUUAGAUCUGAUAGUAUAUGUUAGUAUAUGUGCCAUUUCAGUUUUCUAAGCAUAAAAAUGCUUCCAUGUGCCAAUGCGCAAUAAAGAGUUCUAUGUUUUUGUACCACUUUAUUUUGUGCAUUAGAUCUGAUAGUAUAUGUUAGUGAAUUUCAUUUUUGUUGAAAUAGAUUACAAGUGAAGAGGAUUUCAAUUAUUUUCUGUAUGUUAUUGGCUAUCUUGUCUAUACAUGUGAAAUUUGAUAUGCAAUGAGUAACAACCAACCCACAAUGAAUAGGAUGACAUAGUAAUGCUACGAAUAACCCAUUAUCAACAAAAGAACGUUCUCAAUCUUUUUAAGGCCCGUGGCAACGCACGGGCACUCUACUAGUAUAUAUAGUGUUACUAUUCAUCACCUAGGGUGCAGAAUAAGUUAUUCUUCAUCCGAGGUAAUAUUACGAUCAUUUCAUAAUUAAAUUAUGUUUGGAAUUCAAAUAGUUACAUUCAUAUUGAUUCACUACGUAAAAUUUGGCAUAAGAAAAAUAAAAAUAUAGGUCAUAAGACAAGAAAAUUUACAGUUUAUGUGUAUUUUACACUAUAUUUUUACGUUUGUAAUUUUACAUAACAUAAAAUAUUUUUUACAACGAUUAUAUAUUUUCUUACAGUCUCUUUUUAUGUCGGAAAUAAGACAAAACUUACGGAACGUAAAAUUACGAUGAAUUGAUGGUAAAAUAGAGGGGGUGAAGAAUAACUAUUCCUCAUCCAGGGUGACGAAUAGCGCGACCAUAUAUAUCUAGCCUUGUCAUCAUGAUCACCAUUGUCUCUACUUUUUCCGAAAACGGUAUGACCAACUGAUUAAAUCCUGAAACUGAAGCUUGAUCUUUAUUAAAAUUGAUCGUGGUGUACUUUUCAGCUGCAAUCAAGUCUUGGAUAGAAAAUAAACGUGUUUGGACGAUAACUCACUGUUUUGUAUCAAUUUGAGAAAUAGAUAUUGAUGGGGUUUGUAGUAGCGUGUCUGUUUUCUGAAUUUCUUCUCCAUAUCACUCAUUCUCUUGACGUGUCUGUUCAAAUGUCCCUAAUGUUCUGAUUUUGUUUUCCAUGUUUCUUAAAACUAACAGGUGGUGGUGUCUAAUCCUUGAUGGUGGGGGUCUCAUUUUGGGGGAAAUCUGGAGAAGUCUUGGUUUGAUGGAGUUUUGCUAUCAACUUACUGUAUCUCAUUGAGGGAAAACUUGGAGAAUUUUCAGACUAUGGGUUCACAACAGAGCAUUGCAGUCAAAUUGCUAAAUCAGUCAGCAAGUAACGGGCAUGAGCAUCGUGUAUGUCGUGUUUUACUAGCUAGAAAAUACAUUCCUAGAAAGGAUUGGUGCUUGGACAUGUUACUCUUGUGCGAUAUCAUAUUUACAUAUCUUUACUUAAACCAUCGAUGUUGCAUUGACGAUUUGCUCCAAAUAACCAUUGACGCUGCAUUGCCG
rnacentral:lncRNA from 1 species